rnacentral:rRNA from 1 species
AACGAACGCUGGCGGCAUGCCUAACACAUGCAAGUCGAACGAAACGUUCGGGCUUAGUUGCGCUCGGCGGCGUAACGCGUGGUAACUUGCCCUUAAGUUCGGUAUACUUGCCCGAAGGGGAUCUUCAUACCGGUGAAUGUCAUCCGGCCUAAGAUUUAUCGCUAUUGGAUGGGCGCUCGUUGGAUUAGGCGGUUGGUAGGGUACAAGCCGAUCAAGGCCAUGAUGCAUAGCUGGUCUGAGAGGAUGACCAGCCACACUGGGACUGAGACACGGCCCAGAAUCCUACGGGAGGCAGCAGUAGGGAAUAUUGGACGAUGGGCGAAAGCCUGAUCCAGCAAUGCCGCGUGAGUGAUGAAGGCCUUAGGGUUGUAAAGCUGUUUUACCCGGGAUGAGAAUGACAGUACCGGGAGAAGAAGCACCGGCUAACUCCGUG